GUUUAAUAAUGAUAAUGAUAAUAAUAAUAAUUUUCUAAUACCUGCUCUUUUCAAAAUCCUGUGCUGAUUUGUACAUGAACUGCUUUGAAGAUUAUUAAUAAGUUCGGAAAGGUACUUAUAGUAUAGCUGUGACGAUAAAAAAGCAGAAACUUUACGAUCAAGCCACACCGAACUGUCAUACAUACAUAUUUUUUUUACGGAUUACGAUGGAUGCAACUUCAGAGUGUAUAUUCACGGCGUGUUAUCGAUUGUAAUCGAUAUACACUCGAAAUUUUGAAUUUUUAAA